GACGAACGCUGGCGGCGUGCUUAACACAUGCAAGUCGAACGGAAAGGCCUCUUUCGGGGGGUACUCGAGUGGCGAACGGGUGAGUAACACGUGAGUAACCUGCCCUUCACUUUGGGAUAACUUCAGAAAACUGGGGCUAAUACCGGAUAGGAGCUCCUGCUGCAUGGUGGGGGUUGGAAAGUUUCGGCGGUUGGGGAUGGACUCGCGGCUUAUCAGCUUGUUGGUGGGGUAGUGGCUUACCAAGGCUUUGACGGGUAGCCGGCCUGAGAGGGUGACCGGCCACAUUGGGACUGAGAUACGGCCCAGACCCCGACGGGAGGCAGCAGUGGGGAAGAGUGCACAAGGGGUGGAAGCCUGAUGCAGAAACGCCGUGGGCGGGAGGACGGUCUUCGGGUUGGAAACCGAUUUCGCUCAUGACGAAGCUUUGUGUGACGGUAGUGGGUAAAGAAGCACCGGCUAACUACGUG
rnacentral:rRNA from 1 species